UACGGGGGGAGCAAGCGUUGUUCGGAUUUACUGGGCGUAAAGGGCGCGUAGGCGGCCAGCACAAGUCAGUUGUGAAAUCUCCGAGCUUAACUCGGAAAGGUCAACUGAUACUGUGCGGCUAGAGUGCGGAAGGGGCAACUGGAAUUCUUGGUGUAGCGGUGAAAUGCGCAGAUAUCAGGAGGAACACCGGUGGCGAAGGCGGCGACCUGGGUCGAGACUGACGCUGAGGCGCGAAAGCGUGGGGAGCAAACAGG
rnacentral:rRNA from 1 species